UCUCUCUCUCUCUCUCUCUCUCAACAGUCCAAGUCCAAAAGCCACCACCACAUUGGCUUUUUUUGCCUUUUGUUUUCUGUGCUCCCUAUGCAAUUGUCUAUGUCUGCUACUUCUGCUCCCUCUUCUCAGUACCUGCAAAUGGGGGAGGAAUCAUACUUUGAAUUUCUUGUUAUUAUUUGAUACCCUUUUCUUUCUUCUUUCUUUCUCCAUUUUUUAGCUUUGUGUGGGUAUCCUUUCUAAACAUGACCUUCUUGUUGUUUUCUAUUCAUCUUCUUGCACUACUCUCCUGUAUUUAACUUUUAUGGGUACCCUUCAAAAAAUAUGAGUUUCUUGCAAUGAUUUGACCUCAUUUCCAAUUUUCUAUGGUUUUCUCUUAGCUUUGUGGGUACCCUUCAUUUCCACUUGAUUAGUCUCCUGCCCCUACUUUUCUUUUUUAAUUUCUUGAUAUUUUGGGGGCUGGUUAUGUGGUUGUACUUGUAUUUUUAAUCCCAUACUAAGAUAACAACACUGGGUGGGUGUUCAUGGAAAUUGAUCUGAACCAUGCAGUGACUGAGGUGGAGAAGAAUGCAUUUUGUACUAAUGGGGACUCUUCCUCUUCUUCAUGUUCUUCUAAUUCAUCUCCAUCUCCUAUGCCCUCUUCAAUUUACUUGGAGCUUUGGCAUGCUUGUGCUGGCCCUCUCACUUCACUGCCCAAGAAAGGGAAUGUGGUUGUCUACUUUCCUCAAGGCCACCUGGAACAGGUUGCCUCUUCGGCUCCUUUCUCUCCUAUGGAAAUGCCCACCUUUGAUCUCCAGCCACAAAUCUUUUGCAAAGUUGUAAAUGUGCAAUUCCUUGCUAACAAAGAGAACGAUGAGGUCUACACUCAGCUUACUUUGCUUCCUCAACCAGAGUUGGUAGGACACGAUUUAGAGGGCAAAGAGCUUGAAAAUUUAGGUGUGGAUGAAGAAGGUGGAGGCGGAUUACCAGCAAAAUCAACCCCUCAUAUGUUUUGCAAAACACUCACGGCUUCUGAUACUAGCACCCAUGGAGGGUUUUCUGUUCUCAGAAAGCACGCCACUGAAUGCUUACCUCGUUUGGACAUGAACCAAGUAACCCCAACUCAGGAAUUGGUUGCCAAAGAUCUUCAUGGUUAUGAGUGGCGAUUUAAACACAUUUUUAGAGGUCAACCAAGAAGACAUUUGCUUACAACUGGGUGGAGUACAUUCGUCACUUCCAAGAGACUGGUUGCAGGAGAUGCUUUCGUUUUUCUGAGGGGUGAUAAUGGGGAAUUGCGAGUUGGAGUUCGGCGUCUUGCUCGUCAGCAAACUCCCAUGCCUUCAUCUGUGAUAUCCAGCCAGAGCAUGCAUUUAGGAGUGCUCGCUACUGCUUCUCAUGCCGUUACAACACAGACCCUCUUUGUCGUGUACUACAAGCCUAGGACAAGCCAAUUUAUUAUUGGCUUGAACAAAUAUUUGGGGGCUGUUAACCAUGGGUUGUCAGUUGGAAUGCGCUUCAAGAUGAGGUUUGAGGGAGAAGACUCUCCUGAGAGGAGGUUCACAGGAACUAUAGUUGGCGUUGGAGAAAUUUCUCCCGACUGGUCAGGCUCUAAAUGGCGGUCAUUGAAGGUACAAUGGGAUGAACCAGCAACAAUUCAAAGGCCAGAGAGAGUUUCUCCAUGGGAUAUUGAGCCUUUUGCAGCUUUUGCUUCUGUAAAUCUUCCCCCAACAGUGGUAAAGAGUAAAAGGCCCAGACCAGUAGAUACACCAGUGUCAGGUAUGAGUAUCAGGAACUAUUAUUAUAUCUUGGUAUUUCAAUUAAUUUUUACUGUUACGUCUAUUUAAACAUUAAUUGGAAUGUAGAAAUUACCACCAAUUCAACUACUUCGCCUUUCUGGUACCAUGGAUCAGCCCAGUCCCACGAGUUAAGCCAACUAGGUAGUGCUGCUGAAGCUCAAAGUGGUGAAAGCCAAGUAGUUUGGCCUAUGAGGCAGAAGGAAAUUGACAGCAGUAUUCUAAAUGGUAGCAGCUGUAACUCAAGGGUCCGACCAGAGGGCAUAUGGCCUUCUUCUUCUUCUCACAUGAAUGUCUCUCUAAGUCUUUUCCCUGAUUCAGCUGAUGACAACAGAACUAUAACAACACAGACUGUCAUCUCUGGUUAUGCGUCGCCUGUUCCAUCGAGGCAAAGCAAUGGCCUGGUGCAUAACCUGGUGGAGAAAGGGAAAAAAUAUGAAAAUUCUGUAGGCUGCCGUUUGUUUGGAAUUGAUUUAACAAGAAAUUCUAAUGCUGCUGCUCCCCCAGAGAAGGACUCUUUAUGUUCCACUGUUGAUCCCAAUGGCACCAGAGGACCUGUUUCAGCUGCAGAUGAUUCUGAUAAGGCACAAAAUAUGGAUGUUUUUAAGUCCUCAAAAGAACUGAAGCAAAUUGCAUCAGAUACAUUUCCAAGGGAGACGCAUAACAAGCUGGGCUCCUCUUCCACAAGAACUCGUACCAAGGUGCAAAUGCAAGGAGUUGCUGUUGGUCGUGCUGUUGAUCUAACAGUGCUGAAAGGGUAUGGAGAUCUUAUAAAAGAGCUGGAGGAAAUGUUUGAAAUCAAAGGAGAACUUUCCACUCGUGACAAAUGGGCUGUUGUAUUUACUGAUGAUGAGGGUGAUAUGAUGCUUCUGGGUGACGAUCCAUGGCUGGAGUUCUGUAAGAUGGUCAAGAAGAUACUAAUAUAUUCGAGUGAGGAAGCGAAGAAGAUGAGCACAAGAUACAAGUUUCUUGCAUCAUCUUUAGAGGAUGAAGGGACGAUUGCAAGCUUCAACUCUGAGCAUAAGUCUGACACAUGAAAAAGUUUGGAUCGACCCUUUUUGAUUGAUAUGGUUAUAUUUUUAGUUUUCUUUCGUUUGGAAGGGUGGAAGGUCGGUCUUGUUGGUGGGGUUCAGUUUGC
rnacentral:misc_RNA from 1 species